rnacentral:rRNA from 1 species
CCUACGGGCGGCUGCAGUGGGGAAUAUUGGACAAUGGGGGCAACCCUGAUCCAGCCAUGCCGCGUGUGUGAAGAAGGCCCUCGGGUUGUAAAGCACUUUCAGUGAGGAAGAACGCCUGGUGGUUAAUACCCAUCAGGAAAGACAUCACUCACAGAAGAAGCACCGGCUAACUCCGUGCCAGCAGCCGCGGUAAUACGGAGGGUGCGAGCGUUAAUCGGAAUUACUGGGCGUAGAGCGCGCGUAGGUGGCUUGAUAAGCCGGUUGUGAAAGCCCCGGGCUCAACCUGGGAACGGCAUCCGGAACUGUCAAGCUAGAGUGCAGGAGAGGAAGGUAGAAUUCCCGGUGUAGCGGUGAAAUGCGUAGAGAUCGGGAGGAAUACCAGUGGCGAAGGCGGCCUUCUGGACUGACACUGACACUGAGGUGCGAAAGCGUGGGUAGCAAACAUGAUUAGAUACCCCAGUAGUC